UUCGGGGUCGUCUAGUGGUAGGACAUUGCACUUUGACUGCAAUAACGUUGGUUCGAAUCCAGCUCCCGAAG
rnacentral:tRNA from 1 species